UAAGUAGGAUGGAAGAUGUUGUUAAAGUAAUAAACACAAUUGAUAAUGACUCUCAUAGCAAAUGAAAAAAUAAUUUACUAAUGAAGUUAGCAGAGUCAUACUUUCUCUCUAAACAGCAUGCAUCAAUUUAUCAUUUUAUCAGGUGAAUGAAGCAGUGCAACCUGGUAAAAGCAGUACAGAGGCAGGUGGAGCAACAGGGUCGCAGAUGAGGAAAGCUGAAGGAGGUUUGGGAAGCAGGGAGUAGCGGAUCCAGCGCUCUGAUGCCAGGAAGAAACCACACUGUCAGGGGAUGAAAACAAUCACACAAACAAAGCAUCUAGAUCCUAAAAUAAAAUCAAUUGGACUAUAUGAAAGACUUGAGUGCUUUAUUUUGUAUUGACACCUUUCUGCAAUGUGAUUCUGUUUGGUAUCUGACCAUGUGGUGCUCAACUCUGUUGAAAUUAUCUAUGAUAGAUUAGCCCGUAUUUUCAAUGACUUUUACUCUAGUCUUUUUAAUUCCUUCCUCUUUCUUGAAAGGGGUAGAACACAAUUUUACAGAGCCUUGUGAAAACUGGAGGGUAGAUUUAAAGAUGAUAUGCAAUGAAAAAAUGUCCGACCAGAGGGUCGUUGAAUUGAAACCCUUUCAAAAUAAAAAUCCCCCUGUCAAUUCUGUAAAUCAGUUUUUUCAUUUUGCACUUUGAAUUUCAU